AUUGAACGCUGGCGGAAUGCUUUACACAUGCAAGUCGAGCGGCAGCGCGGCCUUCGGGCUGGCGGCGAGCGGCGAACGGGUGAGUAAUGCAUCGGAACAUGCCCAGUCGUGGGGGAUAACACUUCGAAAGAAGUGCUAAUACCGCAUACGUCCUGAGGGGGAAAGCGGGGGAUCGCAAGACCUCGCGCGAUUGGAGUGGCCGAUGUCAGAUUAGCUAGUUGGUGGGGUAAAGGCCUACCAAGGCGACGAUCUGUAGCUGGUCUGAGAGGAUGAUCAGCCACACUGGGACUGAGCCACGGCCCAGACUCCUACGGGAGGCCGCAGUGGGGAAUUUUUGACGAUGGGGGCAACCCUGAUCCAGCCAUUCCGCGUGAGUGAAGAAGGCCUUCGGGUUGUAAAGCUCUUUCGGCAGGAACGAAACGGUGGGCUCUAACAUAGUCCGCUAAUGACGGUACCUGAAGAAGAAGCACCGGCUAACUACGUG
rnacentral:rRNA from 1 species